GGAUUAGUGGCGAACGGGUGAGUAACACGUGGGCAAUCUGCCCUGCACUCUGGGACAAGCCCUGGAAACGGGGUCUAAUACCGGAUACUGACCCGCUUGGGCAUCCAAGCGGUUCGAAAGCUCCGGCGGUGCAGGAUGAGCCCGCGGCCUAUCAGCUUGUUGGUGAGGUAAUGGCUCACCAAGGCGACGACGGGUAGCCGGCCUGAGAGGGCGACCGGCCACACUGGGACUGAGACACGGCCCAGACUCCUACGGGAGGCAGCAGUGGGGAAUAUUGCACAAUGGGCGAAAGCCUGAUGCAGCGACGCCGCGUGAGGGAUGACGGCCUUCGGGUUGUAAACCUCUUUCAGCAGGGAAGAAGCGAAAGUGACGGUACCUGCAGAAGAAGCGCCGGCUAACUACGUGCCAGCAGCCGCGGUAAUACGUAGGGCGCGAGCGUUGUCCGGAAUUAUUGGGCGUAAAGAGCUCGUAGGCGGCUUGUCACGUCGGUUGUGAAAGCCCGGGGCUUAACCCCGGGUCUGCAGUCGAUACGGGCAGGCUAGAGUUCGGUAGGGGAGAUCGGAAUUCCUGGUGUAGCGGUGAAAUGCGCAGAUAUCAGGAGGAACACCGGUGGCGAAGGCGGAUCUCUGGGCCGAUACUGACGCUGAGGAG
rnacentral:rRNA from 1 species